rnacentral:rRNA from 1 species
UGGGGAAUAUUGGACAAUGGGCGAAAGCCUGAUCCAGCCAUGCCGCGUGUGUGAAGAAGGCCUUUUGGUUGUAAAGCACUUUAAGUGGGGAGGAAAAGCUUACGGUUAAUACCCAUAAGCCCUGACGUUACCCACAGAAUAAGCACCGGCUAACUCUGUGCCAGCAGCCGCGGUAAUACAGAGGGUGCAAGCGUUAAUCGGAAUUACUGGGCGUAAAGCGCGCGUAGGUGGUUAUUUAAGUCAGAUGUGAAAGCCCCGGGCUUAACCUGGGAACUGCAUCUGAUACUGGAUAACUAGAGUAGGUGAGAGGGGAGUAGAAUUCCAGGUGUAGCGGUGAAAUGCGUAGAGAUCUGGAGGAAUACCGAUGGCGAAGGCAGCUCCCUGGCAUCAUACUGACACUGAGGUGCGAAAGCGUGGGUAGCAAACAGGAUUAGAUACCCUGGUAGUCCACGCCGUAAACGAUGUCUACCAGUCGUUGGGUCUUUUAAAGACUUAGUGACGCAGUUAACGCAAUAAGUAGACCGCCUGGGGAGUACGGCCGCAAGGUUA